rnacentral:RNase_P_RNA from 1 species
CCCUCAAGCUAGCAACCCAAACUUUGGUAGGGGCAUGGGAUGGCUGGAAACGAACGGACCAUCCUGACUGCUUUGCAGUAGACAGAUGAUUAUCGAAGGAAGUGGUACCUAGUCACUUCUGGAACAAAACAUGGCUUAUAGAA